rnacentral:rRNA from 2 species
UGAAGUUAGCGGCGGACGGGUGAGUAACACGUGGGUAACCUGCCCAUAAGACUGGGAUAACUCCGGGAAACCGGGGCUAAUACCGGAUAACAUUUUGAACUGCAUGGUUCGAAAUUGAAAGGCGGCUUCGGCUGUCACUUAUGGAUGGACCCGCGUCGCAUUAGCUAGUUGGUGAGGUAACGGCUCACCAAGGCAACGAUGCGUAGCCGACCUGAGAGGGUGAUCGGCCACACUGGGACUGAGACACGGCCCAGACUCCUACGGGAGGCAGCAGUAGGGAAUCUUCCGCAAUGGACGAAAGUCUGACGGAGCAACGCCGCGUGAGUGAUGAAGGCUUUCGGGUCGUAAAACUCUGUUGUUAGGGAAGAACAAGUGCUAGUUGAAUAAGCUGGCACCUUGACGGUACCUAACCAGAAAGCCACGGCUAACUACGUGCCAGCAGCCGCGGUAAUACGUAGGUGGCAAGCGUUAUCCGGAAUUAUUGGGCGUAAAGCGCGCGCAGGUGGUUUCUUAAGUCUGAUGUGAAAGCCCACGGCUCAACCGUGGGAGGGUCAUUGGAAACUGGGAGACUUGAGUGCAGAAAGAGGAAAGUGGAAUUCCAUGUGUAGCGGUGAAAAUGCGUAGAGAUAUGGGAGGAACACCAGUGACGAAGGCCGACUUUCUGGGUCUGUAACUGACACUGACGCGCGAAAGCCGUGGGGGAAGCAAAACCAUGAUUAUAUACCUCUGGUANNNNNNNNNAAACGAUGAGUGGCUAAGUGUUAGAGGGUUUCCGCCCUUUAGUGCUGAAGUUAACGCAUUAAGCACUCCGCCUGGGGAGUACGGCCGCAAGGGUGAAACUCAAAAGAAUUGAAGGGGGGCCGCACAAGCGGUGGAGCAUGUGGUUUAAUUUGAAGCAACGCGAAGGACCUUUCCAGGUUUUGGCAUCCUUUGAAAACCCUAGAGAUAAGGGUUUUCCUUUGGGAGCAGAGUGACCGGUGGUGCCUGGGUGUUGUCAGCUUGUGUUGUGAGAUGUUGGGUUAAGUUCCGCAACGAGGGCAACCCCUGAUUUUUGUUGCCCUCCUUAAAUUGGGCACUUUAAGGUGAAUGCCGGUGGCAAACCGGAGGAAGGGGGGGGUGGAGUCAAAUCAUCCUGCCCCUUUUGACCUGGGGUACCCCCCUGGUUCAAUGGGCGGUACAAAGAGGUGCAAGGCCCCGAGGGGGAGGUAAUUUCCUAAAACCCUUUUCCAUUUGGGUUGUUGGGUGCAAAUUGCCUACCUGGAGCCGGGAUCGCUUGUAAACGCGGGUCCGCCUGCCCCCGUGAAUACGUUCCCCGGCCUUGGACCCCCCCCCCGGCCCCCCCCGAGAGUUUGUAACCCCCGAA